rnacentral:rRNA from 1 species
CCCUUAGACGUUCUGGGCCGCACGCGCGCUACACUGACCAGUGCAACAAGCAUCCGUCCUUGGCCGACAGGCCCGGGCAAUCUUUGAACGCUGGUCGUGAUGGGGAUAGACUUUUGCAAUUUUUGGUCUUCAACGAGGAAUUCCUAGUAAACGCAAGUCAUCAACUUGCAUUGAUUACGUCCCUGCCCUUUGUACACAUCGCCCGUCGCUCCUACCGAUUGAAUGCUCAGGUGAGCCAUUCGGACUUUCAUCAUGCUGGUUUCCAGUUUUGAUGAAGGAAAGUCUUGCGAACCUUAUCAUUUAGAGGAAGGAGAAGUCGUAACA